GUGAUGACGUAGGAUCGAGACGCUGGAACCUAGCCCUCCCCUAUGCCUCAUAAACAGAGGACGAAGAAAAUUACUACCGCGAAGACCGCUCAAGUUGGAACAGAAUCAAGGCCUACUUCUACUGAAGAACCACGGACUCAGGUACAACACACCACCGGUGAAACAGAAAAGGAGACCGCGGCAGCAUCGGCCAUUUCUAAAGGGAACGAUCAACGAGAACUGCGCAAGCGUAAAGGAACGAGCAUGCGCAAAAGAGAGCAACUAGAACUACAAAUCCCAGCAGCGACUGAAACCGACAGUGAAAGUGAGUCUGAGAGAGAGCCGGACUCUCUGGGAAAAUCAGACGAAGAUGGAGAAGAUGAAAGUUCCUCUGAAAAAACAAAAAAGAUUUUGAGGCAAAUAAUGCAUAAAUUAGAAAAAUUAAAUGCAUUAAAAGUAAUUAAAAGUAACCAAAAAGUAAUUAAAGAAAAAAUAACAAAUAUGGAGGCUAUGUUUGAUAAAAUGACAAAGAAACAGGAAAAAAUGGAAAAGAAAAGAAAAGAAAAUUACAGAUUUGGACGUCAAAAUGGAAGAAAUGGAUGGAAGAAUGAAGAAGAUGGAAGAUGAUAAUGAUGCCUGGACAUCAGAAAGAAAACAACUCGUGGGAAAAAUUGAUAAGCUUGAAAAUUUUAGUAGACGCAACAAUAUUAAAAUUGUUGGACUUAAAGAAGGUACCGAAGGAGAAGACCCAAUAAAUUUUUUUCAAAAAUGGAUUCCUGAAAAAUUGGAAAUGGGAGAAGAAACUUUAAUUGAGAUUGAAAGGGUGCACAGAGCCUUAAGACCAAGAUCUCAAGAUGAUCAAAAUCCGCGAUCAAUUUUGAUAAGAUGUUUAAGAUACCAGGAUAAAGAAAAGAUUUUGAGGGCGGCUGCCCAGGGUGCUAAAAGAAGAAAAGGUCCGUUGAUGAUAGCAGAGAAACCAGUUCUUUUUUAUCCUGAUAUAAGUUAUAACCUUUUGAAGAGAGAGAAAGAAUUUAAUCCAGCUAAAAAUGUUUUAUGGGAAAAAGGUUAUUAGUUUUUAAUGCGUCACCCAGCAACAUUGGUAAUUUUUUUGGAGGAGGGAAAAAGAUUUUUUUCUGAUUAUCAAGAUGCGGAGGUGUUCGCACAAAAACUUCCAUCUCUUCGCUAAUUAAACGUAGAGAUUUCUAAAUGUAAUGGUUAAAGACGAAGACAGAAAGCAAAUGGAACUGAUGGACAUUUAAGGAUGAUAUAAGGGAGAAAAGUAAAAUUUUAGAAAUAUUAAUUGAGAAUAGUAUGUUUUUUUAUAUGUAUAUACUUUUUAAGUUGCGGGGGGGGCUGGGGAGCUUUGAAUCGGUUACUACGGGAUUCACGUGUGUAAUCAUGGCAAUUGCCAUGACCCGUAUAAUAGAGGGGGGUAAUGUUGUGUUUUUUUUUUCUUUCACAACAUUAGUAGGGGGGUAUUUUUUUCUUUAUUUUCUAUUUUUCUUCUAUUCUUUUGCCUGGAUGAUUGGUGGGGACACACAUAGCAACAUGGAGACUUCUAAAAAGAUUUCCCAGGAUACAAUGAAAGUUGAAAGAUUAGGUAUUAUUAUAGAUUGGAGUAACAUAAAUAAAAAUAAUGACUAAUUUAUUGAAUUUUUUAAGUUUUAAUGUUAAUGGGCUUAAAGGACCAAUAAAAAGAAGAAUUUUAACAUAUAUUAAAAAAAUGAAAAUAGAUAUAGCUUUCUUACAAGAAACUCAUUUAACGGAUAUAGAACAUCAGAAAUUAAAAAGAGACUGGGUUGGAAAUGUUAUUGCAGCUUCAUUUAACUCAAAGGCAAGAGGAGUUGCAAUUUUGGUUAAUACAAAUUUACCAAUUAAAAUACAAAAUGUAUUAAUUGAUUCAGCAGGAAGAUAUUUAAUUAUACAUUGUCAAAUUUUUUCAGAACUAUGGACUCUUAUGAAUAUUUAUGCACCAAAUGAAAAUGAUGUAAAAUUUAUACAGGAGGUCUUUUUGAAUUUGGCUAAUGCACAUGAUAAAAUAUUAAUAGGUGGAGAUUUUAAUUUUUGUUUAGAUCCAGUUUUAGAUAGAUCAACAAAGGCUAUUACAAAAUCAAAAGUAGCAAAAUUAACUCUAUCAUUGAUGAAAGAUUUAAAUUUGAUUGAUAUAUGGAGAAGAAUCAAUCCAAAAGAAAGGGUUUAUUCAUUUUAUUCAAAUAGACAUAAAACAUACUCAAGGAUAGAUUUUUUCCUAUUAUCAACAAAUACUCAAGAUAGAGUGAAAAAUGUGGAAUAUAAAGCAAGAAUAUUGUCUGAUCACUCUCCUUUAAUAAUGGACGAUGAUAAUGAUAGAUAAAGAGGAAUCAAUUUAUAGAUGGAGAUUUAAUUCAAUUCUACUAAAACGUCAAGAUUUUUGUGAUUUUAUGAAAAAGCAGAUUCAGUUCUUUUUAGAUACAAAUUUACAUUCAGUUGAUGAUAAAUUUAUAUUGUGGGAAGCAAUGAAAGCAUAUUUGAGAGGCCAGAUAAUAAGUUAUACUUCUAAAAUUAAGAAGGAAUAUAUGAUAGAAAUAGAUCAAUUGGAAAAAGAGAUUAUAAAAUUAGAAAAAGAAUCUCAAAGAAAUAUGACAGAAGAAAAACGAAGACAACUUAUUAAUAAGAAGUUAAAAUAUAAUACACUCCAGACAUAUCGAACAGAAAAAGCAAUUAUGAGAACUAAACAGAGAUAUUAUGAACUAGGUGAAAGAUCACAUAAAGUUCUUGCAUGGCAGUUAAAAACAGAUCAGAUUUCUAAAACAAUAAAUGCAAUUCGAACAAAAGUGAAUGAAAUUACUUAUAAGCCUCUAGAAAUUAAUGAGGCUUUUAAGAAUUUUUAUUCUGAGUUGUAUAAAUCAGAAUCAAAGAAUGAUGACGUUAAGAUAGAAGAAUUUUUUAUCACAAAUAACUCUUCCAAAAUUAAAUACAGAAGAACAGAAGGGAUUAGGUAUGCCUUUUACAUUGAAGGAAGUUGAAGAAGCUUUGGGAUCACUUCAAAGUAAUGAAUUUCCAGGAGAAGAUGGUUUUCCACCUGAAUUUUAUAAAAAGUUUAAAGAUUUAUUAAUUCCUCCUUUUAUGGAGUUAAUAUAUCAAGCGGAAAGAACGCAGAAACUUCCAGAAUCUUUUUCAACAGCUAUUUUAAUAGUAUUGCCAAAAAAAGAUAGAGACCUUUUAAAACCAACAUCAUAUAGACCUAUUUCUUUAUUAAACACCGAUUAUAAAAUAAUAGCAAAAAUCUUAACAAUUUUGAAUCUUGAAUAGAGAAUUAAAUUAAAUCUAUUCUGCCUGUGUACGAUCCACAGUGACAAUAUUAUCAUGGUGUUCUAUCACGUAAUUUUAAAUCUAAGUUUGUAAUUUAUAAAAAAUUGAUUUUCUUUUAUUGAGGCCUAAAGAAGACAUGCUAGCAGCUCUGCUUGUUAGGAGUCUGAGGAGAUUUGGUCUGUCACCGAAGCCUCCUACAGAUUUCCACAGAUGUACAGUGGAGAGCAUUUUGACUGGUUACAUCUCAGUGUGAUAUGGAGGCUCCAAUGCACAGAAUCGAAAGAGGCUGCGGAGGGUUUUAGACUCAGCCAGCACCACAUACUUAACUACCAUCAGGGACAUCUUCAAAAUACGGUGCCUCAAGUAGGCCACAUCCAUCGUUAAAGGACCCUCAUCAUCUGGCACACGUCCACUCUCAUUUCUAUCGUCAGGGAUCAGGUACAGGAACCUGGAAGACCACACCCUCAAUGAUUUAGGAGCAGUUUCUUGCCCUUCAUCAUCAUAUUUCUGAUCAGUCCAUGAAGCAAUGGACACUAACCCAUUAUUCACUUUUUGCACAAUGUAUUUAUUUUGUAAUUGAUAGUAAUGUUAUGCCUUUGUGCCAUACUCCUGUGCUUAACAAGAAAUUUUACCUCAUAGAAGACAGUGACGAUAAACCUAAUUCUAAUUCUGUGCAACAAGAAGUUGGAAAUAGAACUUUGAGCUUUCAGUGGAAAACAGAACCAGUCCAGUUCCAUUGUCGAAACUUGGUCUGUUUAAAUCCUCUGACUAAAUUACAGCAUUAGCACUCCUGAUUAAUAAUAUCUUUUGAAUAAAAUAGAAAAUGCUAGAAACAUCCAGCAGGUUAAGGAACAUCUGCAGAGCAUUUCCAGUAAGUACAUUCUGUUUUGAUUCUGGAAUCACAGCAUCUGUAUUUCAAUGCUAAAUUUCUAAGUUUAGAUAUACAAGGCAAGAAGCAGUCAAGUAUGUUUUGUUUUGUAUCAAGUAACAGUAAAAAGAACCUUAGAACAUA